AUAUUCUUGCUCUUAUGUUUUUUUUUUUUUUUACUUUUUCAUGCUUAAGAUGGAGAUUUAAUUAAAUUUUGUUUAAUUUAGUCCUUAAUCUUAUUGGCUUUUAUGGAUAUAAGGGUGAAGAAGGGGGGGGUUAGAAUGAGCUAAUUAAAUUAGGACAGUAGAUUUAAUUUUGAGAAAACCAUAAUUUGCGGGAAAAUAAGUAAGUAGCAAAUCCUACCACCGUAUCAUUGGGUAAAAUCUUACACGUGUCUGCCUCUGCGGCUCAGCGUCACCGUCAUCGGCGGUGCUCGUCGUCACCAUCGUGAAACUUUAUAUGUCUGGCGCUUUUUUUCUUCUUUUCAUUCUUUCUUUGAGUUUUUUUUAAAAAAAAAAUUACAAGUGAAAUCGAAAUGUCCAGGAUUUUGGUUGUUUAUUAAAUGUUAAGUUUGAUUUUUGAGUUAAGAGUGGAUAGCCAAAUGGAUUAUUAUCCUUAUAUUGAAAUGAUAGUUACACAGUGUUUAAACCCUGUAAUCUCAUCCCAAUAUAAUUUGGAGAUAAAAUUUAAUUAUUCUUCAACUCAUCAAUUGAAUCCUUAUAUGGAAUUUUGUGGGUGUUGCAGCAUGUUGAAGUUCCGAUUCCCAGUCCAAAAAAGGAAGAAGUUUUGAUCAAAGUAGAGGCAGCUAGUAUUAACCCAAUCGACUGGAAAAUACAGGAGGGGGUAGCGCGCCCAUUUUUACCUCGCAAAUUCCCCCACAUUCCUGGUACUUUUACUUUUCUCUAGAUGGUUCAGCCCAAUGGUGGAUUUAAAGCAUCAAAACUUUUCUUUCUUGUACUAGUUUGAAUACUUGUUUUCAAUCAUUAGCUAAAGAACAUCUGGUGGAGCAGGUACCGAUGUAGCAGGAGAAAUCGUACAAGUUGGAUCAGGUGUCCAGAGUUUCAAAGUCGGGGAUAAAGUUGUUGCCGUACUUGGUGUAAGUACUCAUUCUUAUUCUUGGGUUGUUGCAUACUUGCAUGUGGGAAACAUAUGUAUGUUUGAUGUUACACUCGACAAGUUCGUUGGUUCAAGUUUUACUACAACCAAGCCAUAAGAUUCUUGUUCGCCAUUAUUAUUCAUCUCCUUGUUUUAAAUGCUAUCUAGCAUCAUUUAUGUCCUUUUUCGUGCCAAUUUCUUAUUAUAUGAAUGUAUUUUGCAAUCAUAGAAUGGAGGUGCACUAGCUGAAUAUGCUGUGGCUAAGGCAGGCUCCACAGUUCCAAGGCCUCCAGAGGUAUCAGCCCCUGAAGGUGCAGCUUUGCCAAUUGCUGGCCUCGCAGCUCACCAGUCACUCACCCAGCUUGCUGGGCUCAAACUUGAUGGAACUGGCCCGCAAGUAAACGUAUUGGUUACAGCUGCUUCAGGUGGUGUAGGUCAAUAUGCAGUGCAACUCCUAAAGCUUGCAAAUGCACACAUUACAGCCACUUGUGGGGCUCGUAAUAUGGAUUUAGUCAGGAGCCUGGGGGCUGAUGAGGUUCUUGACUACAAAACUCCUGAUGGGGUGGCUCUCAAAAGCCCUUCUGGUCGCAAAUACGAUGUAAUCAUCCACUGUGCACACAACAUUCCUUGGUCUACCUUUUCGGCUAACUUGACUCCAAAAGGAAAGGUAGUAGAUACCACUCCUGGUUUCGGUACUUUGAUGAGUGUUGCUGCGAAAAAGAUUUCAUGCUCAAAGAAGCAACUCAUACCCUUGUUUACCUCACCUAAGAAAGAGAAUCUCGAUUUUCUUGUUAAUUUGGUGAGAGAUGGAAAGCUUAAGCCAAAAAUAGAUUCGAAGCAUCCUCUAAGUAAGGCCGAAGAUGCUUGGGCUAAGAGCAUUGAUGGCCAUGCCACUGGCAAGAUUCUUGUGGAGCCCUAGUUUAUGAAGAUAACUUGAUGCAUACAUUAAAUUUAUACUUUUUCUGUGAUUGGGGUUGCUUAUGAGUUAUUUGUAUAUUCACAAGUGCUCUGUAAUUUGAAGAAUACAAAUGUUGGUGUGUGAGUUCUUUUUUUGUUGGCAAUUUAAAGUGUGCUAACUGUAAUGUUAUUCAAAACUCUGUUUUGUUAUAAAAUUUAAAAUUUAAAAUUCAAAAUUCAAAAUUUUUUGUUUAAUGCCAUGGAAAAUUAGAUUUUGUUUUUGAAAUAUUGAACCAACCAUUUCAUUUCAAGAACACGUUUUGCUCACUAUUGAAUAUUGAAGGGAGUGAACAAUUACUCACCAUUUCAUUUCACGAACACAAUUUGCUCACUAUUUCAUUAUCAAAUGGACCGAUGGUGAAUAUUUGCUCUACAUUUUCUUUCAAAAUUUCUUUCAAAUCUUUAAAUAUUUUUUUAAGCUUUUGAUUCUUAUCAAUCAGUCUUGAAAAGUUUAUUUCUAGCAAAAUUUUUUAUGUUUUUAAGAUCAAAAUACAAUUUUCCAUUUUUUUUCAAUUUUUUGUAAGAACAUGAGAUCGAUUUCUUGAUUGUUCUUGACUUUGAUUUCUGAAAAAUUCAACUAGGCAAUGAUGAUUUAACUUAAUUUAAUGAUUUUCUAUACAUGAAAAUUAAUUUCUAAUGAUUUUCUCAUUUUUAAAGCUAUGCUCAUGUUGAUUGGAUUAGAGAGAGUCGAGAUUUCUUGUUGUUUUUGGGUUAGAUUUACAUUGCUAAUGAGUUUUUAAUUUUAUUAGGAUGCUAGGAAUUAGACUUGAUUGGAGAUUGAACAUAGUUCUUAGAAGUUGUCUUUAACGAGUGCUUAAAAGAAUGAGAAGAGAAAUUGAGUUUUCAAUAGAGAAUUCGAUGUUUUUAGGUUAGUUUUAAGUUCUUAAAUAUGAAUAUAAUGUUAGAUUUGAGUUACGGUAAGUUUUAAUUUGAAUCAUUGAAAGUGGGCAUUGAAGUGAGAAAGUGUACUGCUAAAUCACAUUGCAUGAUUUUGUUGAAAUUUAAAGGUUUUGAUUGUUGUGAUUUGUUGUUCUAACUUGGUUUAUUAUGUCGAUAUUGGCUUUAAAGUAAAAGAUGUUGGUGAGAGAUCAAAGGCGAAAUGAAGGAAAAUAUCACCGAAGCUCGAGUGGUUUCAGUUUGUGCAACUCGAUCUUCAAAUUUAUCUUUAUUAGAAUUGAGUAACCCAAAUCCUUAUUAAAAUAAAAGACAGUGGUAAAAUAAAAUAAAAGUAAAAUCAUAUAAAACUACACUUCUUUUAUUUUAUUUUAGAAUAAUAUUUUUUUAACCUUAUUACGUUUCAUCUAUUUGAUAUUGAUUAGAAUAAGGUGUUUCAACCUUACUACACCCCUUCUAUUAGAAUAUGGUUUUACAAGCUUAUAAAUAGAUAGUCUACUCCUCUUGUAAUAAUUCGAAUUCGACAUAGUGAAUUAUCUUCUCCUCUGUCCGUAAUUUUUUUCCCAAAAAGGUUUCCACGUAAAAAUCUGUAUAUUUCUUUAUUUUUCUCUAUUUUUUCUUUACGAUACAUUGUCAUUAUCGACGACAUUCUAUUUUUUUUACAAUAUUAAUCUUGUGUUAUAAUCUAAAUUGAGUUGAUGCAAUAUGAUUUUUACCGAGAUGAUUUUGAUUUAAUGUCAUGAUUACAAGUCGAAUUGAAAGUAAGCACGAAAUGUGAUAUUGAUGUUUUACAAAUGCCUAUUGAAUGUCAAAUUUCAUUGCAUCUAAUUAAAUACAAACCCUUUCAAUUUUUCUUUCAAAUUGACUCCCAAAUUUUUCGUACACAUUUCACUUCCUUCCAAAAUUUACUAUUUAUUUUAUCAUGCAAGUAUCUAUUUUUUUUUUCCUAACUUUUUUUUAUUAAUUUACCUUUAUAGGAUGCUUUGUGCACAUUAGUUUCGAGUUUUGAUUCACGGUACGUGAUAUUUUAAGUUUGAACCAAUUAAUAUUUGUUGAUGUGAUGGAAAUGAUGGUGCAAAGGCAAUGUCCUAUUAGUACUUCGAAUUUGUGUUGCAAUAUCUUGUUAAUAUCAAAACAAAACUUCACAAACAAAAUCCAAUUAUCCAUAGGAUCAUCUACAAUUCGAAUUACAUUAAACCAAAAAAGAAAAAGAAAUCGAACAAAACACAAUGCUCAAAUAUAUUACAUCUAACACAACAUAUGACGAAAAAAGCAACUCACACACCAAGAUUUGUAUUGUUCAAAAUACAGAGUACUUGUGAAUAUACGAAUGACUCAUAAGCAACCCCACUCAUUGAAAAAGUAUAAAAUUACUGUAUGCAUCGAGUAAUCUUCAUAAACUAGGGCUCCACAAGAAUCUUGCCCGUAGCAUGGCCUUCAAUGCUCUUGGCCCAAGCAUUUUCUGCCUUACUUAGAGGAUGCUUUGAAUCGAUUAUUGGCCUAAGCUUUCCUGCUUUCACCAACUUAACAAGAAAAUCGAGGUUCUCUUUCUUGGGUGAGGUGAACAAGGGUAAGAGUUGCUUCUUCGAGCAUUUAAUCUUUUUCGCAGCAACACUCAUCAAAGUACCGAAACCAGGGGUGGUAUUUACUACCUUUCCUUUCGGAGUCAAGUUAGCCGAAAAGGUAGACCAAGGAAUGUUGUGUGCGCAGUGGAUGAUCACAUCGUAUUUGCGACCAGAGGGGCUCUUGAGAGCCACCCCAUCAGGAGUUUUGUAGUCAAGAACCUCAUCAGCCCCCAAGCUCCUGACUAAAUCCAUAUUACGAGCCCCACAAGUGGCUGUAAUGUGUGCAUUUGCAAGCUUUAGGAGUUGAACUGCAUAUUGACCUACACCACCUGAAGCAGCGGUAACCAGAACAUUUACUUGUGGGCCGCUUCCAUCAAGUUUGAGACCAGCAAGCUGGGUGAGUGACUGGUGAGCUGCAAGGCCAGCAAUUGGCAAAGCUGCAGCUUCAGGGGCUGAUACCUCUGGAGGCCUUGGAACUGUGGAACCUUCCUUAGCCACAGCAUAUUCAGCUAGUGCACCUCCAUUCUGUGAUUGCAAAAUAGAUUCAUAAAAUAGGAGAUUGGCACAACAAAGGACAUAAAUGAUGCUAGAUAACAUAAAAAACAAGGAUAUGAAUGAAAACGGAGAAAAAGAAUCUAUGGCCUGCUUGUUGUAAAACUUCAACCAACGAACUUGUCGAGUGUAACAUCAAACAUACAUAUGUUCCUCACAUGCAAGUAUGCAACAAACCCAAGAAUAAGAAUGAGUGCUUACACCAAGUACGGCAACAACUUUAUCCCCGACUUUGAAACUCUGGACACCUGAUCCAACUUGUACGAUUUCUCCUGCUACAUCAGUACCUGCUCCACCAAAUGUUCUUUAGCUAAUGAUCGUACAAGAAAGAAAAGUUUCGAUGCUUUAAAUCCACUAAAGCAUUGAAAACUGAUGCAAAAUAAACCAUUGGGCUAAACCAUCUAGAGAAAAGUAAAGAGUACCAGGAAUGUGGGGGAAUUUGCGAGGUAAAAAUGGGCGUGCUACCCCCUCUUGUAUUUUCCAGUCGAUUGGGUUAAUACUAGCUGCCUCUACUUUGAUCAGAACUUCAGCCUUUUUUGGACUGGGAAUCGGAACUUCAGCAUGCUGCAACACCCAUAAAUUUCAUAUUCGUUAUAAGAUUACGUCACCAUCCAUUUUUUUUUCAAGCUUAUUCAAAAAAAAGACAAAUGUUGGAAAUGAUUUUGCAGAAAGAAAAAGAGAGAGAGAGAGAGUUGACUUAGCUGUCACAAUCGUUUAAUUCAUAAUAAUUUGGCUCAAUGUUAAAUCUACGGUACUAAUUUAAUAAACUUGAUUAAGGACUAAACAAAACAAAAAUUUAAUUAAAUCUCCAUCUUAUGCAUGAAAAAAAACUAGAAAUUUCUUUUUAUCCUUACUUUUUAACUCGAAACAACACUGCUGAGGAAAUAAAAACAUAAACAGCAAGAAUAUUACCUUGAGAUCAGCAACUCCUCCGUUAUAUUUACUGUAUUGAACAGCACGCAUCAGAUUGUUGGCCAUUUUCUUUCUUUUUCUAAGAGAAUAAAAACCGAAAGCUCCUUUUUAAAGUUUGUGGGAAGGCAAAAAAACUCAAGAUUAGAAUGUGAGACGGAGAAGGAGGGAAGGAUUGGAUGGAAUAUUUUGGUGUCAGAUACUUUGAAUUUAUAGUAAAGUAAUGCAGACAUGGAAUGGCUCCUUCCGAUCAAAGCGAGAUCAUUGAAUGGGUAUAGGUGUGAACUGUGAAACCGAUGUGAUGUGAUGUUCUAGAAGCAUUAGAGUUUUUUUAUUAUUCUUUUAAAGUCAAAGUCAUAAUUUUUUUAUUAAAUUGAUUGGAGAAUGUGUAUACUGUAUGGAAGUUUCCAUAAUAUGUUUGUUGAAUGGAAAUGCUUUUUCAUUUUGCUUAAACAUUUAACACAGCCUGAAAACAAUUAAUUUACGAAAAUAAAAUAUGAGAUUUUAAAAUAAUUAAUUGGUUUUUAUUUAAAAUAUUAUAUUAUAUUAAUUAUAUAAGUUAAAUAAUAAUUAUAUAUAUUUAUAUUAAUUCAUUAAAAUUAAAUUCAUUAUUUAAAACUUAAUUUUUAUUUUACCCAACUAAAUAAUUCAAUUUAAAAUUUAAAAAUUUAAAAAUUAAAUUAAAUUAAAUUAAAUAUUUAUUGUUUUUGUUUUUGUUUUUGUUUUUUAAUAUAAAUAUUUUUAAUAUGGUAGAAAACUUUUAUUUUAAUAUAAUUAUUUUUUUUACAUUCAAAAUUGUUGCAUAAUUAAAAACUUAAAACAAAAAAAUUCUCCAAGCCGUUUGCUUCUUAUAUUUUGUUUUGCCUUGUUGUGGUGUCAACAUCCGAACUGGUUAUCGCCUACAUUUUUAUCCCUUCCAUCAACCAUUUCUUUCUUUCUUUUUCUCAUUCACUCCACAUGUUUUCUCGCUUUUCAGUUUGUAGAUUUACUUUGUGGCUAUAUUUGAUGUUUGUCAUUUGUUAAAACUUCAUCGGCCACAAGUAGUUUUUCUAGAAAAAUAGAUGGCUCUUUGUCAGCUUCUUAAACUGUUUCUAUUUUGAUCUAUUUUUGUUUUUAGAGUAUUUUAGAAUAAUAAAUGAUUUCACAAGUCGAUUUAGACCUGUGUUGUCUUAAGGUUUUUUUUUAUUGUUUAGUAAGUCAUCAGUUUUAGAAGUUUUUGUUUGCUCUUAUAGCACAUUUUUUAGUCUUUCUUAUGCAUGUAAUAUUCCUUUUGCAAGUGAUUUUAAGGAUGAUUCUGUUACUCUCCUUUCUAGUUUGACGAAUGCUUGAUUCUUCUAUCGAUUUUUGCUCACCACAUUAGACCAUCCGAGGCUGAUUUUUUUAUCAUAUUAAGUGCUUGCAAUCACUUCAAAACUGUCAUGCUUGAGUUGUAACAAAGUCAAUUGCAACGUGUCAUAAUGUUCUAUUGAUGUUAAGGCUAAAGCCUUUAUUGUGUUUAUGGAGCUUGUCCUUCAUCAUCUACGACGAAUGUUAUUAUUUUUUUAUUGAAUGAAUUAAUAAAUUUAUCUUAUAUGAUUUUUUACUUAAAAAAUAUUUUUAAAAUAAAAAAUAAUCUAAAAAUUUAGAUAUGAACGAACAGAAUCAACUCAUGAACACCUCCGUAACGAAAACGAAAAAGAAAACAAGUUGGAAGUUGCCAAAUUAUAAAAUUAAAAAGGAAUGGCGGCCAGAGAUGGAAUGGUAGAUAUUAAUUAUAUUUGGAACCCAAUUUAAACACGUGAUAAAGAAUGGAAUCCAAUUGUUUAUGUAAAAAUGAAAAAGCAUUUUCAUUCAACAAAUAUAGUAUCGAAACUUUGACAUAAAAAAAAAUUCAACUGCUUCUAGAGCAUCAGAUUCGGUUUCGCAAUUCACACCUACACACGCAUUACAAUCGGGAACACCCAUUCCAUGUCUGGAUUGCUUUACUAUAAAUUCGAACUAUCAAACGCCAACAUACAUCAUCCCACAAUCCUAUCCAAUCCUUCCCUCCUUCACUUUCUCUGAUCUUCUUUCUUUGCCUUCGCCACAAACUUGCAAAAAGAGCUUCGCUUUUCAUUUUUUUCUUACGAAAAACAAAAAAAGAAAUGGCUAAUAAUUUGAUGCGGGCCGUUCAAUACAGUAAAUAUGGCGGAGGAGCCGAUGAUUUGAAGGUGAAUAAUUUGAGUUUGUUUCCAUGUUCUUGCAACCUUAACUUUUACAGUUUGCUUCUCUCCAUUUUUUAUGAACUUGAAAAAAGAAAUUGUUGGUCACCUGAUUUCAUAACGAGUGUGAACUUUGUGGGUGUUGCAGCAUGUUGAAGUUCUGAUUCCCAGUGCAAAAAAGGAUGAAGUUCUGAUCAAAUUAGAGGCAGCUAGUAUUAACCCAAUCGACUGGAAAAUACAGGAAGGGGUAGCCCGCCCAUUUUUACCUCGCAAAUUCCCCCACAUUCCUGGUACUUUUUACUUUUCCCAUGCCUGUUUCAGUCGCAUGCAUUGCAUUCUGAGCUUCACUUGUUUAGUAUCAUCUGGGUGGUUCAGCCCAAUAAUCUGAUUUGCAUCAGUUUUCAUUUGUGGAUUUAAAGCAUCCAAGCUUUUCUUCUUCUUCUUCUUCUUCUUCUUCUUUCUUUUUUUUAAAUUUUGAUUGCUUGUGUUCAAUCAUUGGCUAAACAACAUUUGGUGGAGCAGGCAC
rnacentral:lncRNA from 1 species